UAGAUAUGUUAAUCCUCUUCUUGUCCACCAUCUGUGGCGUGGGGGGAACGUUGACGGCCAUCGACAACCUGGGCCAGAUCGGGAAGUCACUUGGCUACGCGACUCAGAGCACAAGCACGUUCGUCUCCCUCGUCAGCAUAUGGAACUACCUCGGACGCGUCGUCGCUGGCUUCGUCUCUGAGAUCCUCCUGACACGAUACAAAUUCCCACGCACGCUAAUGCUCACGAUCAUCCUCCUCAUCUCGUGUGCUGGCCACCUCCUGAUUGCAUUCGAUGUCCCGAACGGCCUCUACUUCGCAUCCAUCAUCAUCGGUUUCUGCUUCGGCGCGCAGUGGCCACUGCUCUUCGCAAUCAUAUCAGAAAUCUUCGGGCUCAAGUACUAUUCGACUCUCUACAACUUUGGCUCCGUGGCGAGCCCCAUCGGAGGGUACCUGCUCAACGUUAGAGUGGCUGGUCAUUUGUAUGACAAAGAAGCCAAGAAACAGCUGGCCGCUCUAGGGCUUGCCCGACAGCCCGGCCAGGACUUGGAGUGCACCGGGGUCAAGUGUUAUCAGUUGUCGUUUCUCAUAAUAACGUUCGCAACAUUGUUUGGUGCGUUCGUGUCGUUCAUUUUGGUGGUGAGGACGAGGAAGUUUUACAGGAGUGAUAUUUACAAGAAGUUCAGGGAGGAGGCAAAGGCAGCCGAGACGGAGAUGGCUUUGAAUAAUGGGACGACGACGACAAUGACAGCGACCGCGACGGAGGUAAAAGGUGGGCAGAGAGAAUCAGACACAUCACAAUAAAUUGUACCUUUUGAAGGUUUUAAUUACUAUUAGCAGAAAGAUUGAUUAGAGACGUACUCAUACAGAAAUGGCAAACGAUAGAUUACAUGAAUGACGGAAAACAAUUACAUGAACGACGGAAAACAAAGACGUCGCGUGAAGAAAUUUAUAAUCCACUUCAUCAUGAUUUCCGUUUAGCUUACUUGUUACUUGUUGCGUAUUUUUCAGAAGCGUGUUAGCAUGUAAUACAUGAUAGACCCACUUUCCAAAUGGUUCAAUGUUCGGAAACUAGCCAUUUACCUGGCAUAACAUCCUAGGAAGAUCGAGACUCGGAAUCGACAAUCUAGCUUAUGUUAAUUCUCACGCUUAAUGGAACAUAGAGCGCACCCGCUCGAUCUGUAUAGUUAGAUUUUCUUCUUGUAGAAGACGUCCUUUGCGGUCGUAUAAGAAUUUUAAAGAGCUAGAAUCUCUCUCUUGGUGGAAGAAGAAGAAGAAGAGGAUUAAUUUAAGAAUAAGUAGGGAAAGGUCGUGUGGAUACAGUUGUUUUUGACUGAUUGCGGUCUUGAUCAGCCAUUGAAGUCUUGGAGAUUGAACUUUCUCAUCCCCAAGUCUCCAUGAGGAGAGAGGGGAGGAGAAAAGGCCGGGGGGGAGAUCCUACUUGUCUCGUCUUUUCCCUUGGGCGCAUCUAGGGUUUGAAUAAAGAUAAUCCCUUCUUGAUUCGAUUACACUAAAGAUAUUAUUAUUAGAUUCGAUUCGGGAAUAUUUUCCUUCUUUCUGAGUUUGAAUACGCCCGCCCCCCCGGUUGUUUUUUGAAAUAUCGAGCUUGAAGUGGACCUUGGAGUACGCUGUGACGAUAUUAUUAGUCGUCGCCUUCACACUUGUCCGUAGAAAAUGCUAUGCCUAAUCCAUCCUUUUUUGUUUUGUCGUUAUUUUGGAAGGGAGUUAAUUAGAUGGUCCAUGGAUGGCUUUCAAGAGCAUGAGAUCUGACGAAUCUUUUGAGCAACGGCGAGAUUUUUGAUGGCAAAAUGAGUUUUUUGCAUAAAUAUAAAAUUUCAGUCAUUUUGCAAUUAACUUUACAAGCGAUCAGUUCUCUCUCGAAUCUGUUGUUAUCGCGAUAUUAUUGAAUGUGGUGGUUGCGGCCACUCCAUCCAUCCGUGCCCGCACGGCUUGGGAUGAAGCAGUACUUGUUCGAGGUCGUGCAAUUUGACUAACCUAUCAAUGUUUGAAGUCCAGAUCAAUGAGCCUUAGAACUAGUCAAAUGAAUGGACGGGAACGAUGUGAUUUGAUUGCAAAGUAUUGCCAAUUGACAAGUUGUGCACAAAACCAAUGGCGUCUCUCCAUGACCCCACGUUUAGUAUUGUUUUUUUUUUUUUUUUUUGGUAAAGAACGUUUAGUAUUGUUGACCAUAAGAUAAGAUGAUUUUAGAACACCAAGCUCAUGAAUUAGGGUUUUAUAAAUGAGUGCAUUUAAGAUGUAUUUUCUUAACAAGUUCCUCGUGAACACUUGUUAAACAAACCGAUCAAGGAAUUUUUGGUGGUACCCAAUGCGCCGGUUGUGCUCGUGAUAAUGCUUUAAAACUCUAGAUUUCUUAGUCACAUGCAACUUAAUGAACGUCUCAAGUUUACUCUAUAUUAAAAUUCUUCGAACAUACAGAGUAAACGAUCACAUACAGAGAAAUCGCGGUAUCUGUGGCUACAAUAUCGAAGCACCCUCUUAUCAAAUGACACUAGCCAAUUUCCUAGAAAGGCUGGUUAACAACACCGGUGCAAUUAGACACUAGUUCCAAAGGAGGGGGGGACCAAAGGUUUUUUUGUUUUGGCGUGUCAAGUUGAAUUCAAUUCAAUGACGAAACUGUCUUGUGCUGCGAUUGCAAGGACAAGGAGGUUCCCCUAAUCCCUCCACAAAUAAUUUUUUGCAUUAAUCAAUCAUCAAUUAAUUCCCUAAUCUUAAUUAGCAUCUUUAAGGAACUUGUCGGCGCGGUCGCUGGUUUAAUCAAGAAGGCAAAAUGGCCCAGGCCAAAAGAGACUCCAUCGUGGACUCUGCAUACGCAGUCCUCCAUGACCCACGGGCUUUUUGGCCAUUGACGGGCUGACCCAACUAGAUCCACCCGACCCUUCACGGGUCAAGAACUCCGAACCCGUCCAUAUCUAGAGACGACGAUCUUCCCAUGACGAUGACCGCCGGUGGCGAUGGUGGCGGACGAUUCUGCAGCCUCGUCUUCCGAAUCCUCCGAGGGCGGUGGUUCAUGAUGUUAGGGUCGUUCCUGAUAAUGGCAGGCGCCGGCGCCACCCCUACCUCUUCGGCGUCUACUCCAAGGACGUCAAGUUCACCCUCAGGUACGGCCAGUCGGCCCUCAACCUUGUCAGCUCCUGCAAGGACCUCGGCGCCCAAGUCGGCGUCCUCUCUGGCCUCAUCGCCGAGGUCUCCUCCACGUGGCUUGUCCCCCUCAUCGGCUCCGCCAUGAACUUCGCUGCCUAUUUCCUCCUCUGGUUCGCCGUCACCCGUCCCAUCCCCCGGCCAGCGGUCUGCCAGACGUGCGACUUGGGUGAAAAGCAGAAAAAAAAAAGGGGCUAAAAUAGGGCCGGGGAAAUAAAGUCACGAUAUAGACAAAUGAUAUUAAUUAGUCAUCCAUAACACAUGGUGGGGGCACAUGUAUAAAUAUACAGCAUGGGAAUUGCCGAAGGAUUAUUACUAAGAAGCACAUCAGGUCGGCACCGUAAUUCAUUUCAAGUGGAGAAGAUCAUGAGACAUCGUCCAAUUUUCUUGGUUUGAUACCCUUUGGAGUAAUCUUUACAUUUGCUUUCCAAUUUGAAUCUCCUUCGCAUUGAACCUUUUCCUUUAGAAGACCCCAAGUCAACUCUUAAGUCCUCUCUCUCUCUCUCUCUAUUUCCAAAAUUGCAGGCGCAAGCAUUUCGUCAAACUUUCUCAGAUCUAACUCUAUAUAUAACCCUACAUCCCAAUACUACACUUCUUGUAAUUAACAAGGUCCUUGUAACUUCUAACCCUCACUCUCACCCCCGAGAGCGAGAGAGAUAGAGAGAGCCGAGACACGCCAUACAAUGGUGAUCGCCGGAUCCCCCGGAGGGCGCGGGGGCCUCGCGGGCCUCUCAAAUGUGAAGCACCUGGCGGCGCAGGUCAUCAUGGGACGGUGGUUCAUGGUGUUCGCGAGCCUACUGAUCAUGGCGGCUGCCGGGGCGACCUACAUGUUCGGUCUCUACUCGGAGGACAUCAAGACAUCGCUCGGCUACGACCAGAGCACCCUCAACCUGCUGAGCUUCUUCAAGGACCUCGGCGGGAGCGUCGGGAUCCCCUCGGGGCUCAUCAAUGAGGUGUCGCCGCCGUGGGUGGUGCUCUCCAUCGGGGCAGUCCUCAACUUCUUUGGCUACUUCAUGAUAUGGCUCGCCGUGACCAAGCGGAUCACGACGCCGCAGGUGUGGCAGAUGUGCCUCUACAUAUGCAUCGGCGCCAACUCGCAGGCGUUCGCCAACACCGGCGCCCUCGUCACCUGCGUCCAGAACUUCCCGGAGAGCCGGGGCGUCGUACUGGGGAUACUGAAAGGGUAGGUUUACACGAAAUUUGGUGGUUCACGCUUGUUUCGUUCAGUCACGGUUAGCUCAAUGAUUGGACGAGUGAGUCCAAGACAAGUUUAAAAAAAAGAAGAAAAAACUGGUUUUUAUGUGUGAAGAUGACAUGUGAACGACAUUUCCUUCCGAGCUGCUGGUCAAAAGAGAAGACCAGUCCCCGAUUUUGCAGGAUAAUCAAAUUAACUUACAAACUGUAAUACUAGUUCACUCGACUUGCGUUGCUCUUUAUAUACGCUGCAAAGUUUUGCUCUUUAUUACUAUAUUCUUUGUUAAUUUUCUCGUUUUAAUUGCAUCCAUCGUCUAACUUUUUGUGCAUACUCUAAUAGUAUGGUAAAUAUGGUCAUGGAAUUUGCAUUCUUUCCUUAUACAAAAAGUAGAGACGAGUAUAAACUCGUACUCUUGUCAUGAAAGAAAUUUGAGAACUUCUGUCCCUUGAUGAACUACUCCUAAUUGCCUAAAGAAUUUCUUGCAUUGACCGGCUUUGUGUUUAGGCCAUCAUUGUCAUGGUCCUUCUUCUUUAACUUAAGUCCGACUACAUAUUUGUUGGAACAAAAUAUGUUUCCUGAUCUCUUGAAUCUCUUGAUUCAAAGAAAGAUAUAAGAAUUAGGUUUGAUAAGUUAUGGACUCUCGAAUAAUCAUUCAAUUUCUCUGAACUUUUCUGGGCAGCUAUGUCGGCCUGAGCGGUGCCAUCAUCACGCAACUAUACCUUGCGGUCUACUACCAUGACACCAAGGCCUUGAUCCUCCUCAUCGGAUGGCUGCCGGCUGCCAUAUCAUUCGUUUUCCUCCGCACCAUCCGGAUCAUGAAGGUGGUCCGCCAGCCCAACGAGCUCAAGGUGUUCUACAGAUUCCUCUACAUCUCCCUCGGCCUGGCCACCUUCCUUAUGAUCAUGAUCAUCAUCGAGAAGCGCUUCAAUAACUUCACGCGCCCCGAGUAUGGUCUCUCCGCUGCUGGCGUCCUCUUCUUGCUCUUCCUGCCACUCGCUGUCGUCGUCAUCGAGGAAUCCAAACAAUGGGCACAGAAGAGAGAAGCCCUAAAUGACCCGGCUCCGAUCGAGAUCGCCACUGAGAAGCCGAGCCUGGAAACAUCCCUUCCUCCACCACCACCUCCCCCAGAGCCGGCACCCUCUACCACCGUCUUGGACAAUGACGACAAGCUGGAAAAGCAACUCUCUUGCUGGAGAACGGCGUUCAGGCCACCGGACAGAGGUGAAGACUACACCAUACUCCAAGCUCUCUUUAGCAUAGAUAUGUUCAUCCUCUUCUUGGCCACCAUCUUUGGCGUUGGGGGGACGUUGACGGCCAUCGACAACCUGGGCCAGAUAGGGGCCUCACUUGGCUACCAGAAACAGAGCACAAGCACGUUCGUCUCCCUCGUCAGCAUAUGGAACUACCUCGGACGCGUCGUCGCUGGCUUUCUCUCUGAGAUCCUCCUAAAACAAUACAAAUUCCCACGCCCGCUAAUGCUCACGUUCAUCCUCCUCAUCUCAUGUGCCGGCCACCUCCUGAUUGCAUUCAAUGUCCCAAAUGGCCUCUACUUCGCAUCCAUCAUCAUCGGUUUCUGCUUUGGUGCGCAGUGGCCGCUGCUCUUUGCAAUCAUAUCCGAAAUCUUUGGGCUCAAGUACUAUUCAACACUGUACAACUUCGGUACUGUGGCGAGCCCCAUUGGAGGGUAUCUGCUCAACGUUAGAGUGGCUGGUCAUUUGUACGACAAAGAAGCGAGGAAACAGAUGGCCGCACUAGGGCUUGUCCGGAAGGCCGGCGAGGACUUGGACUGCACCGGGGUCAAGUGUUAUCAGUUGGCGUUUCUCAUAAUAACAUUCACAACAUUGUUCGGCACAUUUGUGUCGUUCAUUUUGGUGGUGAGGACGAGGAAAUUUUACAGGAGUGAUAUUUACAAGAAGUUCAGGGAGGAGGCAAAGGCAGCCGAGACGGAGAUGACUUUGAAUAAUGGGACGACCACGACAGAGGUAAAACGUUGACAGAGAGAUUCAGAAACGUCACAAUGAAUUGUACCCUUUGGGGGUUUAAUGUUAUUAGCAGGAAGAUUGAUCAGAGAUGUACGCAUACAGAAAUGUAGAAUGAUAGCUUACAUGAACGACAGAAAACAAAGGCGGUCGUGAAGAAAUGUAAAAUCCGCUCGAUCAUGAUUUCCGUGUAGCUUACUUGUUGCAUAUUUGUUAAGAAGCGUGUUUGCGUGUAUAUCCGUGAUUGACUCGUUUUCCAGAUGGCUCGAUUUUUCGGGAAACCGGCCAUUUAUCUCGUAUGACAUCCUAGGGAGAUGAAGGCUCGGAAUCGACACUCUUGCUUAUGGUUAUUCUCGUGCUUAACGCGAAGGGUUAGAAUAAACGGUUCGGAUGGAACUCGGAGUGCACGUGCUCGAUCUGAACCAUAAAAUUUUCUUUCUGUACAAGAUGACACAGUUUUCAUUUGUGGUCGUGUGAGGACUCGGAGGGCUAGAUUCUCUCUUGGGAGAAGAAGAAGAUUAAUCAAGAAAAAGUAGGGAAGACCGUGUAGUUCUGGAUUCCGGAUCAGUUGUUUUGACUGAUUACUGUCUCGAUCAGUUAUUAAAGGUUGAAACUUCUCAUCUGCCAGUCUUGAUGGGGGGCUGAUCCUACUUGUCUUUUUCCUUGGUGCAUCUAGGAUAUUAUUUGUAUAUUCGAUUCGAAACUGACUAUUUUCAUAGGUUUGAAUAUGUCGGCCCCAACGUUUUUCGAAAUAUCGGGCUCGAAGUGAACCGUCGAGUACGCAUAGGUCGUCGCUUUCACGUGUGGCUGCAGAAAAUGCUCAUACAAUUCCUUUUCCUUUUUGUUACUUUGGACGAGAGUUUAAUUAGGUGGCCCAUGGAUGAUUUUCAAGAACACCAAAUCUGACUGAUCUUUCGAGCGAUGAGAAUAUUUUUAUUGGCAAAAUGGGUUUUGAUGUGAAUAUAACAUUUUACCGUUAUUUUGCAAUUGACUUUACAGGUAAUUUGAUCCACUCGAACCCAUUAUUAUCAAGAUAUUAUCGAUUGUGAUCGUGACCAGUUCAUCCAUCCCUGCAUGCAUGUUGGAUUGGAAUGGAGCCGUUCUAUUUUGAGGUUCUGCAAUUGGACUAACUUAUGGAUCAUUUGAAGUCCAGGUCAAAGAGCCUAACUAAUAAUUCACUAUUCUAUUUCUUAUGCAACUAGUCUGAUGAAUGGACGAAAACGAUGUGAUCCUACCGCAAAUUAUUGCCAAUGGCAAGUUAUGCACAAGACCAUUGGCGUCUCUUCAUGACCCAACAUUUAGGUAUUGUUGGCAAUAAAGUAAGAUGAUUUUAAAAAGCGCAGCUCAUGAUGGGUUUAAAUAAAUGAGUAUAUUGAUGAUGAAUUUCGUUUUCAAGUUCCUUAUAAACAUUUUUUUAAGAAUCGGUUAAAAUAUUUUUCGCAGCUCCCAAUGCAUUGAUUGUGCUAGUGAUAACUUUUUGAAAACAUAAAUUUCCUUGUUCUAAAAUUUAACUAGCGUGUCCGAUUUACUCAUGAAUGUAACUUUUUAAGCAUUCAUAGUAAGCGAUCAAAUAAAGGAAGUCACGAUAUUGAUGGUUAGAAUAUUGUGGUACCUUUCUAUCAAAUAACAUUAGCCGAUGCCCUAAAAACACUACUCCACAACACCAGCGCAAUUAACACUGAUUUCCAUGUUGGCGGACCAAAGGUUGUUUUGUUUUGGCAUGCCAAGUUGAUUUAAAUCCAAUGACAAAAAAGAAGAAAAAAAAGACCUGUCUUGAUUUGGGAUUUCAAGGACAAGAAGAUUCUUCUAACCCCUUCACAAAAAGAAGAAGAAGAAGAAGAUUUUUCGUAUUAUUUAAUCAUUAAAAAAUUCCCUAAUCUUAAUUAGCAUCUUUAAGAAACUUGUCGGCACGGUCGCCCUUUUACUCGAGGGAGCUCUUGCGAGCCCAAGAGGGCAACAUGGCCUGGACGAAAGAGACUCCAUCAUGGACUCUGCAAACGCAAUCCUCCACGACCCACAGGCUUUUGACCAUUGAUGGGCCGAUCUGUUUGGAUCCACCUGACCAUUGAUGAAUAAGGAUGAGCAUUGGUCCAAGGUCAACCCUGGACCGGCAACCCCACCAGUCCUUAUCUGGUUCUAAGGAGGAUUGGGUCGAUCAUUGAUCCAAAGAUCCUUAGAUCAGUACUAUACAAGUUGGUAUUCGAUCCUGUAAAUUUAGGGUCGGUGACCUCAAUCUGGGGUCAUCCAUGACCUCAGACAGGUGGACAGGGGCGAGGAGGCGCGGCGAGCGAGAGCAGCUGCCGCAGAGGACAAGGGCUGCGGGUGCUUUGGUGUUUCUCAGCCAUGGAAUAGAUAGUUAAACUAAAAAAGUUGAGGAGGGUUUUUGUGAACACGAAUUUCGUUUAAAAUUCAUCCAUCAAAUAAGUGAUGGGUGGACAAAGUUGCAUCAUCUGGUCGUCUUUUGAAAAUUUUGGCAUUGAACUUCUAGAAAUGAUUUCAUCGUCAUGACGUAAUUAUUGAUACCAAUCAGUUUUGGUCGAGAUUGGCCAACAAAAGUAAAUAAAGUGCGGUGGAGAAAAAAAAAUUAGAAAAUCAUUCAAAUACAAUGGAACCAGGGUGCCUUUGAUUUCGCAUUUUGAAAGCUCUGUAGGAAAAUAUAGAGACCUUCGACCUAAAGGAGUUUGGAAAAAUGCAAAUUACGUUUGGUAAAAAAUCAUUUAUAAAGUAACUUUGGGUGAAAAAUGUUUGGUAAUUUUUUUUUUGUAAAGGGUUUUGGUUGUAAUUUUUCUUUUUUUGCUUUAUUAAAAAAAAAAAACCAAACCCUUCACUAAUUCCAGCGAACGGCUCAGGCCAUUGGUGAGCCAGAUUUGGCGUUAGCAGCCCGUCAGCUGAGAUUGCACUAGCUAGGCAACUGUCGCCGGCUUCUCGCUGGUUAGAUCUAACCUCAUCAUCCCUUGCCGACCACCUUUGCAAAGAAGAUAAACAAUAGCAAUGAAGGCCAAAAAAAUCAUUUAACUCUUCUUUCAGUAUUUCAAAAAUACUAAAACCUUAAAGCUGGUUUGCAUUUACUUUGAGUUUUCAGCCUUCCUAAUACUAGCUUUCAUUUAAAGCCCCUUGAGGAUGGUUACCAAACAUUCUAAAUUUUUCUCAAAGGAUUUUCAAAAUUCCAAACCAAACGCAACAUAAGUCUUAAACCUACGAUCUUAAUAAUUCAAACAAAAUACUCUAUUUCUCAAAAUGCGAUAGUAUUAUCAAAUGCCGACCACUUCAAGAAUUGAAAUUUAUUUUUCUAAAAAAUUCAACACGUGCAUUUUCCCCCGUUUUAUCGGAAUUUCAAGAAUCUGCGCCAACAUCUCCAUCAACUCCAAAUAAUGCAACCGGGAAAAAUGAUACCCACUUAUCGGCACGCCAUUUCGGGGACGACGAAUAAAAAACGAAGAUGUAUCGGUUUGGGACGUGAUCUUCACUCAUGAAUUGUGUCAUUUUCGGGUUUGUGGAAAAUUAUUUUCGAAGAAUUUUCUUAGGGCGCGGGUAUGUAUAAUAUCAGUAUUUAUGAAACAUGAGUGUGAAACCAUACUAAGCAACUUUGACUAUAAUUAAAUUUGGAAUUUAGCGGCAUUCACGUGGGGUUGACGUAGGUGUGGACUCUCUGAUUAAAGUUGCCGAAAAUAGAAAAAAGAAAUAUGCGAAGCUUGACCUUAAUGAAACGUAUGGAUGAUGAUGAAUUUGCUCCACACUCCUAAUAUAUAUAUUCUUUUUUAUUUUUCUGAAAAUAUGACAUAAAUCGUUCAUGAACUUUACCUUAAUGUGUAAUGUGAUCUUUGAAUUUUAGUUUCAUGCAUAAUGUUAUUCUUGAACUUUUAAAUUGUUCAAUAUGAACUUUGGACUUUUGGUAUAUAUUCAAUUUAAUGCUUAAUAUUGUCUCUAAACUUGAAUUAAUGAAAUGACAGCAUUAAAUAUUUUCAUAUAAUUUAAGGACCAUAUUGUAAAUUGGGAUAAAGUUUAUGAAUCAUAUUAUACAUUAGGCCAAAAUUUAAGGAUCAUUUAUAUCAUUAUCUCUUAGUUUUCGUUCCUUUCAUCAAAAGCAAAAUUAGGUAAUUUAAAAUACCGCCGGAGGUUUCUGGGCGUUGACUUGCAGGUGGUCGUUCAAAGGAAGGAAAGAGUGAGUGAGAGAGACAGAGAGAGGAGUUUGAUUUGAUGAGAUCACUCGAUACUUUGAGAAAACGACAGUUUAAUGAGCUGGCAUGGCUAUCGGCCACACUUCUUGUUCUGUCAAAGCUUUUGAAGAUUCAGCUUCCGCAAGUGGAUUGACGUUUGCUUUGAAAAGUGCAUGAGAUCUCACACGGCGAUGGAGGACCCGUAGGCGAGUCCAAAUUGAAGCGGUUGGUCCCCAAAGGAUAUUAUCAGAGAUGGUGGGCAGCCAUUGACGAAGACUUCAGCUCCCGUAGACUACUCAAAACACGCAGAGAAGAGAGAGAGAGAGAGAGAUGGGUAGGUCCUGUGCAGAAGACGACUGAGAAAUAAUGCUAUACAAACUAAGAUUCAAUUAGUUAAAAUUUGUGUAGUUACGUGACAUGAUAGAUUCCCAUUGACAUUUUUAAAAGACUCACCAGAAUAUAGUGCCGCCCUACUUAAUGAAUUUACAUAGUAGACAGAUUAUCAUAUCUUCAAUAUCACUCCCUUGUAAGCUAAUCGUCGGAUUGACGACAUACUCAAGUUGAAGACUCGACACUUGCAGGUCAUUGCGUGGGUAUUCCAUGAUUAGGCCCUCGUGAGUCAGAUUUGGGUCAUUACAUAUAGAUGUUGGAUGAUUCUUUACCCUUAUACAAUGAUUCUCUCGGUUUUUCGAUAGAUCUUAAUGAUUGACGACAACUUCAUUUUCAUAAAUUGGCAAUCGAGAUUUAUUGACAUAUUGGAAGGAGCACUAUAUGAGAUGCAGAAUCCACGUCCACAAAAGGUGUGGAAACUAACGUUGGAUAGUUGACCAUUCGAUGUUUACUCCUACACAGUUGUACUGGCACAUGAAUACAGCGAGGCCCAUGUAAUGGCGAUCAAAAGAAGAGGAUUCCUAGGUAGCAUUGGCAUUAGCAUAACCAGCGAGCGCAUGGAAUAAGCAAUUAUUUAGCAAUGUGAUUGAUUGGUUUGUGGUAAACUCUGGGUAAUAAUAGCAUAUAGCAUUGUGAAGUCAGAAAGCUGUCAACUUUGCCAGUGUCAUCCGGCGAUUUCACAUGCAUAGCGCAAUAUAAUAAAACCAAGUCAACUUUCGAUCUAAGCUAUUCAUAGUUUACUUAGUUUUUACAUUAGAUGGAAGUUAUCACAAGAGAGUGCUGGACCACCUGUCUAUGUAGAUUAAGAGCAAGGGCUCUAAUGCACUUAUAUAAAAGCCACCGAGAAAGACCGAUACAUUUAAUAAAUCGCAGGAUUUCUUGUCGUGUUAGCAGCAUCAUGAACUCGAGGUUUGUCCUAAUUUUUUCAUCAUUUUAAUAUAUAGAAUCAUUGAUCAGUUAGUUUGUUGAUGGUGUGAUGUUCACGAAAAUGAGAGGGGAGGAAAGGUCGCACUUCAAUUGGUUCAAUCGCUUGGAAAUAGUCAGCGAGUUCUUCCCUCAAAUGACUUAAAGAAGUAUAAUCUUAUUCGUCAUGGUCGAGAAAGAUGGGUAGAACGUGGUAUUAAAAUUAGAGACAAGAACAAUAAAUAUUGUAAAAUCGCCAGAUAGUUGGAUCUUGAAAUUAUAGAUAUUUAAUAUGUCGUAACUAACGUGCAAACAUUGAUAUUAUCUAUGCUUUAGUGUCUUUUAAUAGGGCACACUGAAAACGUUAACAAAUAUUCUAGUUAGGAAUUGAAAAAUAUUUAUGCCUUUUGAAAAAUGGAUGAUGUUGAUGUUGAUGAUACGAUAACAACAACAACAACAACAACAACAACAAUAUUAAUAACAACAAUAAUAAGAGAAAAUAAUACAAACGGUUCACGAACUUUUAAUUUGUUCAAUGUGAUCUCCAAAUUUUUUGUAAAUGUUUAAUUUAAUCCAUCAACUAAAUAAAAAUGUUUAAUAUUAUCCUUCAAUCAAUUCAAGUUAUCAAAAAACAUUGAACUAGAUUGAAAAUUUAACAAAAGUUUAAGGAUGAUAUCGCACAUUAGGCUAAAUUUCAAGGAUUAUGUUGAAUACAUAAAAAAUUUAGGGAUGGCAUUAUACAUUAAGCUAUAAUUUAGAGAUCAAUUGUGCAAAACAACCCUCGUGCUUUUUCCACCCCAUUUUUGGCUUUCGACACCCUCAUACCAUCUUGAAUUGACCAUAUUAUCCCUUAUCAGUCCCACUCUUGAUUUAAUAUUAUUACUUACCUUUUUUCUAUUCUUUAUCAACGGCUAAUUGUUUCAUGUAAUCAAGGCAAAGAUAAUAUUCCACAAAAUAAUGUUUUAGGGAGCAUUUUCAUAAUAAUAAUAAUAAUAAUAAUAAUAAUAAUAAUAAUAAUAAUAAUAAUAAUAAUAAUAAUAAUAAUAAUAAUAAUAAUAAAUGCUCAUAAAUCUUUGUCAUAUUUUUAUAUUUUUUGAUGAUAUCUUUUAGAAAAUCCUGCAAUGAUAGCAUGAAAAUUAAAUAAAAAAGUGAAUUAUUAGAUUUACCGAAUAAAAUGAAAGUUGAGCAAUUAAAAUCACAUAUUAUAAUGUAAUGACAAAUACGAAGUUAUAACUAAACCAAAUGCAUUCAUUAAAACUUGUAAACGAUUCUUUUCUCUCUUAUAGCUUAGUUGUGCUUAGGUUUCUAUUAGAAUAAUGGUUUGCUUGUUCAAAAUAAAAAUAAAAGAAGAGAAAUAUACAACUCAUGAAUAUAAUAUAUAAUAAUUAGUAGGUUAUCUGUCAAAUAAACUAUUUUUUUAGAAAAGUGGGAUGCAGAUUGACUAGGAUGGAGGCUGACUAGGAAAUUCAAAUACAUGGCCCGGGCCCUCGUAGGGUGAGGCGCCGUAGAAUAUUGUCUUCGCAACUUGCCGAAGAGAGAAGACUCCCCGAGUCCAAACAAGCGUGGAAGUCAUUUUCUUACAUCGUAAUUUAUUUUUAUUUUUAUUUUAUUAUAUGCCUAUCGAAAUACCCUCCGAUUUUCCUUUUUUUUUUAAUUUCUUUUUAUUUGUCCUAUGAUCAACCAAAAUUAUUUCCCGGUCCGAGGUGCAAACUGCGAUGACCUGUCCUUAGAGGGAAAUUGAAUCUUCAAGGAUCAUGAAUCGAUGUGUUUUAUUUUUUAUUUAUUUGUUUGUUUUUUCUUAUUUUGGAAGGGGGGAUCAUGAUAAUAAAUGCUUCUUCUUUUUUUAGGUUGCACGUUGGACUUAUGAUAUUCCCAAGAGGCAUGAUGCCCUGCUUUGGGAUGUGGUGAAUCUUGCCAACCGUCGAGACCAGAUAUCAUAUUAUUUUGGGUGAUUACGAUCUCGAUACUUUGAGUAUUUGUCGACUUUACGGUAGUUGCACUUUGAUUUGUAUUCGAUCAUUCCAUAUAUAUAUUUAGAAAUAAAUACAUAGAAUCGUAUAUGAUCUUUUCGUAAUCUUCAAAAGAUUCUAUGAUUGAUGCCUUUCACGUUCGAAUUUGGGAGGAAAGAUCAUAAAUAGAUCUUGGAAGUUAAGAAUAAGUGUAAGCAAACGGGUUAUCUAAGGUCACUUUUUCCCGCUCCGAAGAGAGAUGAGAGAUCGAAAGUAUAAAUAUGCACGCUACAAGAUUUGACUAGUGAUUGAAAAUAGAAAUGUGCAUGGAUUAGACACAAGACAAAGUUUGUUUUCUUUAUGGAGUCCAAACAGUGUCAUAAACGGUCCUAUUAGCUUAGGUUUCCACUUUCGUCUUACUUAUCUUAUCAAGCUAAGAUAUUUUGCCAGCUUGACAUCAAGCACCUAAAGUGAACUUCAUUGUCACAAGAAAAGUAUUUAGUCGAUAUCUGAAUUGAUUAAUCAUGAAAGUUUUCCGUUUCAUACAUUUUAUGUGCCGUUCUCGCUGUUAAGACAUCUAGGGUUGGCUCUCAAGUAUCAAGCUAACUUCUCAAUCAAUCCGAAUAGGGACGUGCCAUCCGAUUUGGGGUCACGGUUCAUUGCUUUCUCUGGCUCAGUUUGGUUCUCAAGUGAGACGUAGAAUGCUAAAAGGGGAGUGCAUUGACAAAUUUUCACUAGAGCAGUGAUCUUUCAACACAUGCAUAGGAAAUAGGCUCUCGCCAAGCUUUUUUUUCUCAAUCGACUGGAGCAAGCAAGUGAUCUUUCCACACAUGCGUUCGUCUCCUUCCUCUACAUCUUCUCUAGGUUGUCUCAUGUGGUCAUUUAAGGCAGUCCCACUCCGGCAUUGAAGACGCGGCCGUGGCAAUGCUGAUCGUGGGGUCAAAAGCCAACAAAGCAUUAAAAGCACCAACAGGCAUAAGAGUCCAUCCGAUAAAAAGAAAAGAAAAAAAAAGACAUAAGAGCCCUGCCCAAAUACAUCCCACCAAGUGGUCACAACACCCCCUCUCCAACUAGGACCACCGGCAUCGUAAUGCAGUUGCUAGAAUUAGGUUCAUAGCCUAGAUUCAACGUCCCUGCUUGAUCUUGAUUUUCCAGUUCAUACUCAUUACGAUCAUUAUCUUUUUGUAAAAAGACGACACAGCAACUACGUUGGGCAAGUCUGGUUCCGCAUAAAUGUAACUUGAUUGACUCAAAGCCGAGAUCUUGAUUUCAUGAAUUGGACUAUAACAAACAUGCCAUAUAAAUCUAAAGUGAAUUAUCUCACAAAAACUCGAAUUGAGCCGACUAGGAGCGUCUCUCUCUUUUCAAAGAGGAAACCGUAAUCGAUAUUGCUGUUAUUUUCCUUAUCUUUGGCCUGCUUGCAUUUGUUCUUUCCUUUUGGACUCGUGCACAGAACAGGAGCAAGGGGAAUGCUGGGCAUCCAUUCCAGUCAGGGAUAGGGGCAGCUUAUCUCCUCAUGAUGUAUCUGUCUAGUUCAAACUGAUCGCUUUUGGACUUCUAAUAAAAGUGACCGGAAUUUGCAGAAAUUAUCAUAACUAAAUCACACGGUUCUUUCGUUUAGACGUGGGAGCUUUUCCCCUCUCUGAAAACAACCGAUUCGACUAACCCAAUGAAAAGGUUGGAAAACGGACAAAAUUUUCGGCCCAUUUUUCUCCAAAGUACUCCAUCGACACGCCCCCUUGCAAAGUUGUCCGAUUAAAAGUUGAUGUGAACAGCACUACUGUCCCACGAGGUCAAGCUUAACUUUUGCAAUUUGCGAAUGUUAUAAAAUGAAUUUCGCUAAUUUCGAGAAAGAAAGAAAUCUGCUGAAAGUGUGCCGGGGAAUUAAAAUCACGAUAUCUACAUGUGACAUGGGUUAUUCAUCCGCUCCACACGGUAGGUGUACCAAGCUGUCCCAUAUAUUAAUUUCCUGUUCGAUCAUGUUUGAAUGCCACGUGCCGGAUUAUUAUUACUAAAGAAAUGACAAUCAGAUCGGGACCGUGAUUAAUUUCAAGUGCAUAGGAUCAAGAGACAUUGUCCAACUUUCUUGGUUACAUACCCUUUGGACUAAUCUUUGCAUUUGUUUUUCUAUUUAAAUCUCCUAUGCAUUAAAACUUCUCACUUUUCAUCUUCCACAAGUCAACUCUAAAGUCCUUGUAGAAACGCAGUCCCUCCCCACAAACUCUCUCUUUCUCUCUCUCUCUCUCCAAAAUUGCAGGCGCGAGCAUUUCGUCACACUUUUUCAGAUCUAAUUCUAUAUAUAACACUGCACGACUGGUCUUGUAAUUCACAAGAACGUCCUUGCAACUUCUCUCUAACCCUAGCUGCCACUGCCACCCCAAGAAAGAGAGAGAGAGAGAGAUAGAGAGAGAGAGAGAGAGAGAGAGAGAGAGAGAGAGAGACACCAUACAAUGUUGGUCGCCGGAUCCCCCCGAGGGCAUGGAGGCCUCGCUGGCCUCUCGGACGUGAGGCACCUGGCGGUGCAGGUCAUUAUGGGCCGGUGGUUCAUGGUGUUUGCGAGCUUCCUGAUCAUGGCGGCUGCUGGGGCGACCUACAUGUUCGGGCUCUACUCAGAGGACAUCAAGGACUCGCUCGGCUACGACCAGAGCACCCUCAACCUGCUGAGCUUCUUCAAGGACCUCGGCGGCAACGUCGGUGUCAUCUCGGGGCUCAUCAACGAGGUGACGCCGCCAUGGGUGGUGCUCUCCAUGGGGGCGCUCCUCAACUUCUACGGCUACUUCAUGAUCUGGCUCGCCGUGACCAAGCGGAUCGCAAAGCCGCAGGUGUGGCAGAUGUGCCUCUACAUAUGCAUUGGUGCCAACUCGCAGACGUUCGCCAACACCGGUGCGCUCGUCACCUGCGUCCAGAACUUCCCGGAGAGCCGGGGCGUCGUGCUGGGGAUACUGAAAGGGUAGGUUUACACAAAUUUAAUAUCCUUACGUAUGGAUUUGGCGGUUCACGUUUGUUUUAUUCAUUCAUGAUUAACUCAAUAAUUGGACGAGUGAAUCCAACACAAGUUAACGAAAACUGGUUUUUAUGUGUGCAAAUGAUACGUGAACAACAUUUCCUUUCGAGCUGCUGGUCAAGAGAGAAGACCAGUUCUUGAUCUUGCAAGAUAACUAAUCAAGUUACAAGUUUUGAAAUUAAUUCACUCGACGUGUCUUGGUUUAUAUACGCGGCGAAGUUUUGCUCUUUGUUUCAAGUUGUGAAUUUUCUUGUUUCGAUUGCAUGCAUUUUCUAACUUGUUGCGUAUACUCAACCACAUGAUCGGUAGAAUCAUGCAAUAUGUAUUAUUUCCUUAUUUCCAAAAAAGGAGAGGCAAAUUUAAACUCAUACCCUGGUCAUGAAAGAAAUUUGAGAACUUUCUGUCCCCUAAAUUGCCUAAUAAGUUUCUUUCACUGAUUAAAAAAGAAAAAAAGAAUAAUUUCGAAUAAUCGUUCAAUUUCUCUAAACUUUUUUUGGGCAGCUAUGUCGGCCUGAGCGGCGCAAUCAUCACGCAACUAUUUUAUGCGUUCUACUACUACAAAGACACCAAGGCCUUGAUCCUCCUCAUCGGAUGGCUGCCGGCUGCCGUAUCAUUCGCCUUCCUCCGCACCAUCCGGGUCAUGAAAGUGGUCCGCCAGCCGAACGAGGUCAAGGUCUUCUACAAAUUCCUCUACAUCUCCCUCGGCCUGGCCACCUUCCUCAUGAUCAUGAUCGUCAUCGAGAAGCACUUCAAUAACUUCACGCGGCCCGAGUACGGUCUCUCCGCUGCCGGCGUCCUCUUCUUGCUCUUCCUGCCAAUCGCCAUCGUCCUCAUCGAGGAAUACAAACAAUGGGCACAGAAGAGAGAAGCCCUAAACGACCCGUCUCCGAUCGAGAUCACCAUGGAGAAGCCCAACCUGGAAACAUCCCUCCCUCCGCCACCACCUCCCCUGGAGACGGCACCCCCUACUGCUGUGUUGAACGGCGGAGAACAGCUGGAAAAGCAACCCUCUUGCUGGAGAACUGCGUUCAGGCCACCGCACAGAGGUGAAGAUUACACCAUACUCCAAGCUCUCUUUAGCAUAGAUAUGUUCAUCCUCUUCUUGGCCUCCAUCUGUGGCUUGGGAGGGACGUUGACGGCCAUCGACAACCUGGGCCAGAUCGGGAAAUCACUUGGCUACCAGAAACAGAGCACAAGCACGUUCGUCUCCCUCGUCAGCAUAUGGAACUACCUCGGACGCGUCGUCGCUGGCUUUGUCUCUGAGAUCCUCCUGACACGGUACAAAUUCCCACGCACGCUAGUGCUCACAAUCAUCCUCCUCAUCUCAUGUGCUGGCCACCUCCUGAUUGCAUUC
rnacentral:lncRNA from 1 species